GCAAAAAGGGAAAAUACAGAAGUCUUACAUAUACUAUAAUUAUACUUUUGUCCUUUGCCAUGGACAGGGACUUGGCUUCUUCUUGGGCUGUGAAAUGAUCUUAUAUGUCUCUACUAGAUGUCUAAUAUACAUAGACAUCCCUAAUCCAACCAACGAGGAUGGAUAUUAAUUUUCAAUUUUCUCAGCUGAGAUGGUGAACCAAUAUGUACCAGCGUGGACAGAGGAAAAGUUAGUAACUCACAGAUUUCAAGAAAAGAGAUUUCCAUCGAGUGUGUGGACAAUGCUGAAGGAUUUCCUGGUGUAAUCGUCUAUGACGAUAAAACAUUCCCCAUUUCUUCUCAGCGAGAUGCCAUAGCGCGGACUGCUUCUGGUGAUGGACAAGACUCUUACAGGUUAGACAAGGCAAGGCAAAUUUGUGUGUAUAUGUAGCAAAC